rnacentral:pre_miRNA from 1 species
AAUAAACGAAUUUCUGUGUUUUUAGAUAGAAUUUUUGACUCCUCGUCUUAUUUGAAAAUUUUUUAUAAUUAAUAUUUUUAUUGUUAUCACGUGAUGAAGCAUGAAUAAUACUUUACGUGCGACUAAUUUUUUUCAAAUCUUUAAUAAAUUUUUUAAAUAAUACAGAUGGUCAAACGCUCGAACUAUAUAAAACCCAAA